rnacentral:rRNA from 1 species
UGCCUGUACCAUAACCGACACAGGUGGGUAAGUAGAGUAUACUAAGGGGCGCGAGAUAACUCUCUCUAAGGAACUCGGCAAAAUAACUCCGUAACUUCGGGAGAAGGAGUGCCUUAUUCUUAAGGUUGCAAUAACAAGAUCCAAGCAACUGUUUAUCAAAAACACAGGUCUCCGCUAAGUCGUAAGACGAUGUAUGGGGGCUGACGCCUGCCCAGUGCCAGAAGGUUAAAGAAGUCGGUUAGCAAUAGCAAAGCUGGUAACUGAAGCCCUGGUGAACGGCGGCCGUAACUAUAACGGUCCUAAGGUAGCGAAAUUCCUUGUCGGGUAAGUUCCGACCCGCACGAAAGGCGUAAUGAUUUGGAUGCUGUCUCGGAGAGGGGCUCGGUGAAAUAGACUUGUCUGUGAAGAUGCGGACUACCUGCACCAGGACGGAAAGACCCUAUGAAGCUUUACUGUAACUUGAAAUUGAAAUUGGACUUUAUUCGCGCAGUAUAGGUGGGAGGCGUUGAUUAUAAUCUUGUGGGAUUAUUGGAGCCAUCAGUGAGAUACCACUCUUGUAAUGUUAGAUUUCUAACUUUGAAUCAUUAUCUGGUCAAAGGACAGUUUCAGGCGGGCAGUUUGACUGGGGCGGUCGCCUCCUAAACGGUAACGGAGGCGUACAAAGGUUUCCUCUGAACGGUUAGAAAUCGUAUCUAGAGUGUAGAGGCAUAAGGAAGCUUGACUGUGAGACCUACAAGUCGAGCAGGGACGAAAGUCGGUCUUAGUGAUCUGACGGUACUGAGUGGAAAGGCCGUCACUCAACGGAUAAAAGUUACUCUAGGAUAACAGGCUGAUCUCCCCCAAGAGUUCACAUCGACGGGGAGGUUUGGCACCUCGAUGUCGGCUCAUCGCAUCCUGGGGCGGUAGUACGUCCCAAGGGUUGGGCUGUUCGCCCAUGAAAGCGGUACGCGAGCUGGGUUCAGAACGUCGUGAGACAGUUCGGUCCAUAUCCGGUGUAGGCGCUAGAAUAUUGAGAGGAGCCUUCUUUAGUACGAGAGGACCGAGAAGGACAUACCUCUGGUGUACCAGUUAUCGUGCCAACGGUAAACGCUGGGUAGCUAUGUAUGGAGUGGAUAACCGCUGAAAGCAUCUAAGUGGGAAGCCCACCUCAAGAUAAGUAUUCUCAUCACGUAAGUGAGUAAGGUCACGGUAAGACUAACCGUUUGAUAGGCAUUAAGUGUAAGUACAGUAAUGUAUGUGCUGAGAUGUCCUAAUAGACCGAGGAC